rnacentral:rRNA from 1 species
AUGAGGAGAAGAAUUAUCCUUCUUGUUGCCCUGAUGCUUGUCCUGCUUGUCCUGGUGCUGCUUCUUAGACUUGUCAUCUUGUUUAUUAGGCUUCUUAUGCUUUCGCUUAGUUCUAAAAUGUCCAUACUCUCCACAACCAUGACAUCUAAAUUUCCUCUUAUCAAAACUAGAGUUUUGACCUCUUCCAUUAUGAUCAUCCCAGUUUCUCUCCCUGUUGAUUUUGUCCCUCAAAUCACCUCCUUGAUGCUUCUUCUGCCAACGCCUCCUAUCUUCACCAAGGUGCAACUCCUGAUGAUGUGA